UACGGGGGGAGCAAGCGUUGUUCGGAUUUACUGGGCGUAAAGGGCGCGUAGGCGGCCUCUGCAAGUCGACUGUGAAAUCUCCGGGCUUAACCCGGAAAGGUCAGCCGAUACUGCAGGGCUAGAGUGCAGAAGGGGCAACUGGAAUUCUCGGUGUAGCGGUGAAAUGCGUUGAUAUCCAUAGGAACUCCGGUGGCGAAAGCGGUGUGCUGGAUCCUUUCUGACGCUGAGGCGCGAAAGCCAGGGGAGCAAACGGG
rnacentral:rRNA from 1 species